rnacentral:lncRNA from 10 species
CAUUUCCAGGCUGGUCUCUGUGGUUUUUAUUAGUGUUUCCUGGGACCCAUCAAACAAAUAAACAUAUUUUGAAAAAUAUAAUUCUUUGACAAAACAGGAAUAGCAGGAAUAGUUUGAAUUUAACAUAGCUUAAAGGGAAAGAUUUCUGAUUUUUUUUAAAUAGUAGCAAUAGAGUUGUUUCCACAAAUUGUCAACCCAGGAGCCAGAUGGAAAGAAAAACAAGAAUUAUGCAGAUAACUACAGAAAGAUUAAUCCCAAUUUAGUUAAACUUGUGAAGGCUUGUACGUUUCAGAGGUUCAUAAGACACAGUCUCAACAGGAGUUUUUUUUAAUAAAUGCUCUAUCUCUAGUUCCAGAAACUGAAUUCCAAGAAGCUACACUGAGGAUAAUUCAGCUCUGAUAUUGUGAUUACUGUGAUGUUCUUUCAUUCAUACAGUAAGUAUCUGCCCAAUACGUAACUACCGAGAUCUAUUGCUUCCUACAUAAUUAGACAAGCUCCUCACACAUAUGGGCCCAUGCCGUGCACAUAGCAGGCACUCAACAAGUGUUUGCUUAACUACAGAAGAAUAAUAUAUUCAUAAUCUUCAUUGGUUAAAACAGGUCAAAGGUUUAUUACUGGCUUCUCAUACCAGAUAAGUCUCACAGUUCCCAAUAAGGCAACAGAAUCCUCAUCCAACAUAUAUUGACUUGUGGAACCCAACGGCCUGUUUUGGUUUCAUUUCAGCGCAAGUAGAAGGCAAAAUAAAGAGUCUCACAGUAAAAUGUUCAUAGUAGAUAAUAUGUCCUUGAAGGUUGUGCCGUUGUGCUCUUAUUCCACUGAAGAAAUGAUUCACAUCCCAAUUAUAGAUAUGGUCUCCCAAUCAGAGGAGUCUUUUAGAAGACAUUCAUUCAUUCAUUGAACAAAUAUGUGUUGUGUACUUGUCCCAUGCUAGGUAACAGGAAAAUAAUAGUGAUUGAUAAGACAUAGUCCCUGUCCUCAAAGAGCUAACAGUCUAGCAAGGCAGGAACUUUGAGAAAAGACCAAUGUGUUCAAAGGAAAACUCACAACCUGGGUCUCCCUUCUCAGAUGGCACAUUCAAGAAACUGUUGCUUAUGCCCCUGGGAGCCAGAGCCUUACUUAAGUCUUACCAAGUCAAAUAUCUAUCAGCCUCAGAUGAUUUGAGCCUGGUAAAGUCUUAGCAAUAGAUUUGCUGCCUCAUGUUCCCAUGAAAACCUAAUAAGAGAGAGCCCUUUCAACUCAGGCAUACGGGGGGUUUAAGGAUAACAUGUUUAGUGACCAUGUGGACAUUCAGCACAGGUGAGCUUCUCAAGUGAGAGCCAUGUGUCCCCAAAAGAAAGGAGGGUUUAUCCAUAAGACUUUGCUCUCCCUUUCAACACUGUGGUGGGAAGUACUCUGUUACCACCCCAAGUUGGCAUAGCUCGAUUACUUUAAGUUCUCCAAGUCACGAACAGCACAUAGAAAAUGCAGCAAACUCAAGUCAAGACAAUAGAGAGAUAUGCUGAGAACUUAAUACUCAAGCCUUAAUCAGGCACCAGAUGCCAAGAAACCUUCACUCUCAACAAACAACACAAUCCACUAAUUAUCUGUAGAAUUGUUGUAGUUGGUACUCUUCACAUUCACUUACUCCUUAGCAAAGAUUGCUCUUGAAUGGAAAGGUUGCAGAAAGAGCCAAAGCCAAUUUGGAAGAAGUGAGAAACUUACAGGUUUGAGGAAUGGUGAAGUCAGCGAAGGAUCUAGCCUCCUUAGAUGAUGAACAGGCAAAGUCAGAGAAGGAACCACAGUGAGAGAAUUGGCAGAUGCCCCUAAUAAAAUCACACAACUCAGACACACACACAGACACACAAAUAUUCAUGCGUUAUACCCAUUCAAGUAACUGGAUAUUUAAUUCAUUCUAUGCAAUGAACAGUCAAAUGCUGGGAAGGCCCCAUAGUUCUUUGGCCUUCUUGUAAAGCAACAUAUGUCUUUUCUGCAGGAAUGUCUGAGUUGCACAGUCAAGAUCGUUGCUGUUCAUUGUUCUUUUUCUCAGCUCUUUCAGUAACUGUUACUUGACAACACUAAGUUAAACCUUUACAGAAGUGACCAAGCCAGGCAGAAAUAAAAAUGGAUUUGGUU